rnacentral:rRNA from 1 species
UGUGUUGUUGGGUAGGGGAGCGUUCUGUAAGCCUGUGAAGGUGUACUGUGAGGUAUGCUGGAGGUAUCAGAAGUGCGAAUGCUGACAUAAGUAACGAUAAAGCGGGUGAAAAGCCCGCUCGCCGGAAGACCAAGGGUUCCUGUCCAACGUUAAUCGGGGCAGGGUGAGUCGACCCCUAAGGCGAGGCCGAAAGGCGUAGUCGAUGGGAAACAGGUUAAUAUUCCUGUACUUGGUGUUACUGCGAAGGGGGGACGGAGAAGGCUAUGUUGGCCGGGCGACGGUUGUCCCGGUUUAAGCGUGUAGGCUGGUUUUCCAGGCAAAUCCGGAAAAUCAAGGCUGAGGCGUGAUGACGAGGCACUACGGUGCUGAAGCAACAAAUGCCCUGCUUCCAGGAAAAGCCUCUAAGCAUCAGGUAACAUCAAAUCGUACCCCAAACCGACACAGGUGGUCAGGUAGAGAAUACCAAGGCGCUUGAGAGAACUCGGGUGAAGGAACUAGGCAAAAUGGUGCCGUAACUUCGGGAGAAGGCACGC